GUCUUGAUAGUUAAAAAAUUUUUAUAACAUGGCUUUGAAGAAGCUAAAUUGGGGUGUGAGAUUCCUUCUCUUGAUG
rnacentral:tRNA from 1 species